rnacentral:rRNA from 1 species
AUUGAACGCUGGCGGCAGGCUUAACACAUGCAAGUCGAGCGAGCGGCGGACGGGUGAGUAAUGUAUGGGGAACUGCCCGAUGGAGGGGGAUAACUACUGGAAACGGUGGCUAAUACCGCAUACUAUCGGAUGUGCCCAGAUGGGAUUAGCUAGUAGGUGGGGUAAAGGCUCACCUAGGCGACGAUCCCUAGCUGGUCUGAGAGGAUGACCAGCCACACUGGUACUGAGACACGGCCCAGACUCCUACGGGAGGCAGCAGUGGGGAAUAUUGCACAAUGGGCGCAAGCCUGAUGCAGCCAUGCCGCGUGUGUGAAGAAGGCCUUCGGGUUGUAAAGCACUUUCAGCGAGGAGGCGUUACUCGCAGAAGAAGCACCGGCUAACUCCGUGCCAGCAGCCGCGGUAAUUC